rnacentral:sRNA from 1 species
GCUGGGCGUGGUGGCACAUGCCUGUCAUCCCAGCUACUCAGGAGGCUGAGGCAGGAGGAUCACGAGUUCAAGCCCAGCCUCAGAAUGGCGAGGUGCCAAGCAACAGUGAGAGCCUGUCUCUA